rnacentral:misc_RNA from 1 species
AAACUGCGAUAAGUAGUGUGAAUUGCAUUUAGUGAAUCAUCGAAUCUUUGAACGCACCUUGCACUCACUGGUACUCCGGUGAGUACGCCUGUUUCAGUAUCAUUGAAAACACACAAUCAAAACAUUUUCUUUGGUUUGAUUGGCUUUGGGUCUAUCAAAAAGUUUGGCUUGUUUCUUACAAGCCAAGCGGCCUGAAAUAUAUUGUCUGGCUAAUUGCAUCGUUGAUGAUCGCUAUUAGACUUUGGCUUUUUUAAAUGAACUGGAGGUUGAUUAACCAGUUUUAGCUUUAGUCAAAUGGUCAUUGUAAAAAAAAUCUCGAUCUUGGCUAGGUGUUUAUAGCCGAAAAUUUUUUUUUGGCUAUAACCGAAACCAAUAUAAUCACAUUUAGUUAUCGAUCUGAAAUCAGGUGGGACUACCCGCUGAACUUAAGC